AUUCAGCUGACGAGUAUCAAAUAGGACGAAACACAUGUCCUGGGU
rfam:Schistosoma curassoni strain Dakar, Senegal genome assembly, scaffold: SCTD_scaffold0006110